UACGGAGGGUGCAAGCGUUGUCCGGAUUUAUUGGGUUUAAAGGGUGCGUAGGCGGCUCAUUAAGUCUGGGGUGAAAGCCCGUUGCUCAACAACGGAACUGCCCUGGAAACUGGUGAGCUUGAGUACAGACGAGGUUGGCGGAAUGGAUGCUGUAGCGGUGAAAUGCAUAGAUAGCAUCCAGAACCCCGAUUGCGAAGGCAGCUGACUAGGCUGUAACUGACGCUGAGGCACGAAAGCGUGGGGAGCGAACAGG
rnacentral:rRNA from 1 species